ensembl:lncRNA
AGGUGAGAACCUUCCACUUCUAAAACAGCAUGAAGCCCCACUCAAACCUGAUUUAAAAGCAGGUUAUAUCACAUAAAGUGUGCUUUAUUUUAGAUGUUUGUUUCUCUCUCAGGUUCUUCCAGGGUCUCUUGCAUCAACUGUGUGAAAGAAAGCUCAAAUGUCAAGGCAGCACAAGUACAGUAUUCCAGUCUCCGGUUCAUCAGAGGGUCCAGACCCGCGGCUCCGGCUCCUGCUCCAGUUAACGUGACCUACGCAGCUAUAGCCAACCACACAUCCUGAUUCAAUGCAUUUACUCAGCUUCAGAUGAAACUAGUCUACUAUACCGACACCUAUACUUUGAACUUAUGCCAAAGCCUGUGGAAAAAAAGAAAAAAGUCAUUUAUACACUACCAUUCAAAAGUUUGGGAUUGGAAUGAUUUUAUAAUGUUUUUGAAGGAAGUUUAUUUUGCAAUUUGAAUUUGAUUUAAAUACAGUAAAUAAUGUGACAUAUUUGUGAAAGUUUUCUAUUUGAAUAUAUUUAAAAACUAUCUUUUCAGGAUUUUAUCAGGAUUCUGAUACAGUAUAUAGAAAUUCCAAAAGAACCGCAUUUAUUUAAAAAGAAAUAUUUUGUAACAAACGUCUUUUGAAUAAUUUAUAUAUAUUUUUUAUAUUGAGGACAGAAGGAAACAUAUAUUUAUAUUUUAUAUAUAUUUAUAUAUGUUGAAUGGUAGUGUAUAUUACAUGUGCUAUAUUAUGCCUGCUAUAUUUUAUGGUUUCUUUUUCAUUUGUUUGAUUAUAUAUAAGCUAGCUUUCGCAGAAUGACAUAUAAAGCUAAGACAGUGAUUUCGAUACUAUAUAAGAUGUUUUCGGUUUAUAUUCACUUAUCAUUGAAAAUCACUCAUAUGGACUGUACGUGUGCAGUGUAAAUGAUGAAUGAAGAGAUGAGUGUUUUUAUGAGUGUGGAGUAAAUGACAUGCUGUCUGCUGCUCAGCUGUCUGUCUGUCUCUCUCCAGUGCUGCACACCCAGAGACGCAUACU